AGAAGAACUGUUGACCGUGGUCUCAUUUGUUCUACGUUUGUCAUUAAAGCACCAAACGGUCUGGCAAGAAACUGCAUAGGAAUUGAUGAUGUUCUAAAAAGCUCUGGUCUUUCUCACUCCAUUUAUGAAUAUACAUUUAUACUCCAGGGGUACCUGUGCUUUGCUAAUGGGUCUCAUUAUCAUCCCUGAACCUGAGCUUAACAGCAGUCUGUAUUCUGAAGUGGUUCCAGAUUCAAUGCUCUUCCUCUUCUCAACUGUCCCAAACAGCAA